rnacentral:rRNA from 1 species
UACAGAGGUCUCAAGCGUUGUUCGGAUUCAUUGGGCGUAAAGGGUGCGUAGGCGGCGGGGCAAGUCGGAUGUGAAAUCUCAGGGCUCAACCCUGAAACUGCAUUCGAUACUGCCUUGCUCGAGGACUGGAGAGGAGAUUGGAAUUCCUGGUGUAGCGGUGGAAUGCGCAGAUAUCAGGAGGAACACCGGUGGCGAAGGCGGGAUCCUGGGCCAGUACUGACGCUGAGGAGCGAAAGCGUGGGGAGCAAACAGG